CCCCGAUCACAUCAUCGAGGAAAGAUCAUUCCGGGAAAGUCGUACGUGGUUAUCCGCAUGUGUACUCCAGCUCAAGUUUGGGGACGGAGGAAUCCUCAGGGUUGACAUCCGGGUCUGCUGUGAGCAGGUACCGUUAUUGCAGAUCCGGUCAGGAACCUUUCCAACUCUCUCUCCAAAAGGUUCCUUUCUCACAAGAUCAGACACAAUCAAAUUCAGCCCAGGGAGGUCCGAUACCAGCAGAUGGGUCGGGAGGGUGUUUCUGGCCGCUGUUUUACUGGCGUGGCUUCACAUCACCAGAAUGAAAACAUCACCGAUCAGAACCGGCAACACCACCAUUGUGACGUUUCUUUCUUUGAAACUAUGCUGGAUUCCAUCGCCUGUUAGCAUCCGUCCGUCCUCCCAGAGGUUCUGGAUAAGCUUAGUUGGCUGCUUCAAGUCUUCCUUGGGUAAAAAUUCACUUCUGCUCAUCUCCUGUCGGGCUGCUUAUUGUGCCGUGGAGACAUUACAACUCUGGUCUAUGUUGGACCACUCGGACUUGGUGUCUCUUUUAUACUGUUUGUUUACGUCAUUGUCCAUGUUGGUUCUCGGGUUCUGGACACAGCUGACUCCCAUAAGCGUCGUCUUACAUGUGGAGCUGGUCGCCCGUAUGCACGGCUCGAGAGUGCCAAUAAAAUACGUGCUGGUUGUGAAGAUAAAUCAAAUAAUGUGACAAUGUUGGAAAGAAGCAAGUUUGCAUACCAAAACAUUCAAGACUUGAGAAUAUUUCACAGCAUUCAUGGGCGUCUGUUUAUCAAAUGUUUAUAUCAGGGAUAUUUGUGUCUAAAAUGUGUUGAGGAAAAAAUAGGCAACCUCAAGGUGGGGCUUUUUCAUAGCGUGGUUAAAAAUGUUUGUCUAUAAACUCAUGUUUUCCUGUGUAUUGAUAAUUAGGCUUGAAAGAAAUGACUUAGCAUAAAUUACAGUGGUACACGAAAAAAAAAUGCAUAAACUUAAAACUUAACAA